rnacentral:misc_RNA from 1 species
AAAUUGCCUUUUACUGGAAAGGCUUUUCGUUUAGCCUUUGGACGAUCAAGCCUUUUCUUCUGCUCCUAUGAUCAGGCAGAAAAAAGGAGAGAAUCAUUGGCAUUGCAGUUGAAUGAAAAGUUGCUUGGUAGAGCAAAUGUAAUUCCUAAAUAUGUCAUAGAUUGUGUCAUGGAAAGAAUAGAUGAGAUGAGCAAAGGAGUUGUUGAUUGUAAAAUGGUUUCUCAGCAUAUGGCUUUUACCAUUUUGGGGACAACACUCUUUGGAGAUGCAUUCUUGGCAUGGUCCAAGGCAAAUUUCUAUGAGGAGCUUCUAAU